AAAUGCGGUCUUCGCUGUAAAGAGCGAACAGACAUAACCAGACUUUCGGUUGAGCGGUGUGCCGAAGUGACCUGUGCCGAGCUAGAUCAUCAUAUAAUUGUUUGUGUGUACAGUCCCCCAAACAGUGAAUUUAAACAAUUUUUAAAAAUAAUGGAUCAAGUGUUACAUGUUACCU
rnacentral:lncRNA from 1 species